rnacentral:lncRNA from 1 species
UCAGCUGGAUAUUUUCUGGGUUUCAAGUCAUCGUCUUCAUCGUGAAGAUUGUAACAGAAACAGAGAGCAAGAGCUCAAGAUGAGAUGAGAGAGCGAGAGAUGAGAGUGAGCUAGAGAGAGAUGAGAUUCUCGGUUUAUCUAAGCUCAGAGCUUGAUCUUCUUCCUCUAUUAUACUUGUUGUAACUCGGAUUGGAUGUAAUCGAGAGAGGGGAAGAAGAGGAGAGAAACCUCCGGUGAUGUACACUGUAGUGGAUUGGCUGAGAGACCGUUUCUCUCCCCGGUGAUGUAUAGCGGCUUCUCCACAUCGGAGAAGUGCGGUGAACACCGGGUAAACAAAGUCUCGUGUGUUCUUUAUUUCUUUCUUGCUUGAUUCUGUGAUUGAUUUGAUCCAGUUAGGCUUAAGGUGAUUAUUGAAUUGAGCCAAGAUCAUAGGAUGAAUCUUCAACAAGUGGUAUCAGAGCCUCGGUUUAGGCGAUUCAAGGAUUCAUCGGAAAUGGAUCAAGAUCGGUUCUGAAGGAGAAUCGAAGAAGGAUCGGAGGAGUUGAAGUUUCGAUCGCAUCGUUGUUGCGAGAGUGAAGAAUCAGUAGAUGUUGCAAGAUUUGCAAUGUCAAGAGCAAAAGAAAAAAAGUGAAGACGUUGGCUCGUGGUAGACGAGAACGUCGGAGACGGAGGAAAGGAAUCUCGCGGAGGAAGACGUCAUCAGAGCGGAUGGUUUCUGAUUUUUUGAAAUCAUAUGGUUCAGUAAGUUAAGCUCUCUCAUCUCUAGAGUUAUAAACCUGGUGUGAGUUUUGGAAUUAGAGACUUGCAAGAGACGUUGCUGUGUUCACAACCGUAAGAAGAACCAUAGACUGAAGUGUAAAGAAUCAGAUAUGUGAUGUUGUUCUGCAGUUCUGGAAUUGGUUUGAUGCUGGCUGUUUGAGGUGGAGGAUCUCAGGUUAAAAUGUUAAGUCAAGAUCAGACUUAAGGCUACAGAAUCAAAGUCAGUUCAUAGUUUCCUCAAGUUCAAGUCUUGGAGACAAAUGGUCUCAGUCUGCAACAGUCACAAAGUUUUGUUGUGCUGGCUGGAUACUCAUCUACUGCAGUGUAUAAAGAAUGGAAGCUCUCUAAAUCACAAGGGCGUUAUGUUAUCUUUGCAAAGAGUAAUCAAGGCUCAGGUUUGGUGUCAAACUGUUUGUUGGUCAGCUUGUUUGUGGAAGGAAGAUGCAGCUGUGGUUUCAGGAUGUUUGGAAGAAUGGCAGUUGGUGGCAUUCUGCAACAGUCACAAAGUUUUGUUGUGCUGGCUGGAUACGCAUCUACUGCAGUGUAUAAAGAAUGGAAGCUCUCUAAAUCACAAGGGCGUUAUGUUAUCUUUGCAAAGAGUGAUCAAGGCUCAGGUUUGGUGUCAAACUGUUUGUUGGUCAGCUUGUUUGUGGAAGGAAGAUGCAGCUGUGGUUUCAGGAUGUUUGGAAGAAUGGCAGUUGGUGGCAUUUAUGAAUCUCAGGUUUAAGGGACGCUUUAGAAGUGAGUUUGUAUGUGUGUCAAAGGCUGUUCAGAUACUGUUAAAGCUUUCAAGAUUCAAGUUUGAAGUUAAGUUGCAGAGAAGAAUGGUUUCUACAGGUUUUGGAACAAGACAAAUAUGGUAUUUUGAGGAGCUGGUUCAGAUUUCAGAAAGUUUGAGUUGCAGGUUCAGUCACAGAGAUUAAGGGUCAGGUUCUGGUGAAUGUAAGAAGCUCAGGUGGUGAUGAUCAAGGUCAGCAAAAGGAUCAUAAUGGAGCUUGUAGCAGCAGGGAUUAUUUCUACAAAAAAUGAAUCAAGGUUGUUAUGUUUGAUGUUAUUCUUCAGUGGUAGUGGUAGUAAAGUGAUAAAACAGAUGGGAUUCUGUGGUAUGUCACAUGACGUUUUUCACAUAAACAAACGUCACGGCUUAUUAGAAGAAUGGGUGGAGUCAUCAAGAAAGAAGCAGACGCAGGAACAUGUUAUGUUUCCAGAAGUAUGCGUCAAGAGAAAAGACAAGAGUUCUAGGAGCAAUGUGAGUAUAUGCUGGAAUAGAGUUUCUUGUGGGAUCAAAGUUGAUAACUUUGGAGGAGUAUGAGUGGAAGAGGCAGCUCGUGGUAGAGGUUUAACUGUCUCACUCAAGGCGUUUCUGCAGAGGGUUAAAGUGAUGAUUUCUUAAAGAGAAAGAAGGCUGAUAGAAUAUCAGUGAUAAGGAGCCAAGGAGAAGAAACAAGUUUCUGGUUUUAUGGCUCAAGGAAAGGAAAGCAAGGAGUUUGUUUUGCUGGUUGUAGUUCUUUUGAACAUGGAGUUUACAAGUUCAAGUCUGUGCAUGAUGUCUCAGGUCAUUGGUGCUUGUGUUCUGUAUUUUAAAGACACACGAGAAGUUUCAGGAGAUGGAGAAAUCUGAGAGAAACUUCAAAGAAUGAUUGUGAGGACAUGUUUGGAUGAAGGGACAGCAGGAUGAAAGCACAGCAGGCGGCAGUCACUCAAGGAUGUAGCUUUCAGAGGCUAUGAAAAGAAGCUGUAUGCCAAGAUAUAAAGGCAAGAAGCAUGGCGUUACUGAUAGUAAAAUCAGUGGAGUAAAAUUAGUUUGAGAGAAUCUGGUUUCGGGUUUAUCUGUCACAGGUUCUGAUGGGUUAAAUUCAGAAGGGUCUCACAGGGUUUAAAGUGUUAUGUGAAGAUGUUUUGUUGGCAGAGAUUAUAACAGGUUGGAGCACAGUCAGUUUUUGAGGUACAAGAUCAGAAUUGGAAGCUUGCGACACUUGGUGGUUCUGGUAUUAAAUGACAAAGGUUGAAUGGCCGCAAAAAUUAAUAUAAUUUUGAUAAGUCUGAAAUAAAAUUCAGAAGCAAAAAGCCAUAUUUUCAGUCAGCUACACAAAGGGGUUAAGUAAAUCAAAGAAGAAAGUGCAGGAUGGUUAUAAGUCUGAGAAGUGAAGCUUCAUGUGAAGAGGAACACGUUGGGGUUUUGAAAGGUUAUUGUUUCAGGUGGAGUCUUGCCUCUACAAGUGUUGUAGUGCACAUCGCUAGAUGUUUUUUGACUUCAGGUGGAGCAGUGUUAUCCUUCCAGUCGUAUAUCUCAUGUCUACUUUAGUGUGAAAAGAUUUCAGAAGUCCUGCGGAUGAGCUUUCAAGAGCAACAGAGAUUCAGUUUGGUUUUGUGCAGCAAGAAGAGUAAAAGAGAGCCAAGCCAGUGUCAGCAGGUUCAAGCUCAACAUGUUAUGGUCAGAUGGAGUAAAAGGGGUUCAGCUUGUGGUCAGAGAUGUGAAGAGGAUGUCGGCAGUGUUAGUAUGGGUUCUCCACAGGAAGCGUGGAGUAAAACGACGUCGAGGCAGAGUCACUACAGGUAUGAUAAAUCAAUAUAUAAAAUACUUGUAACGUGUGCUUUUGCAGGUAUUCACAUGGACCAGGAAGAACAGUUCAAGGUGGAGCUGUUUGAGUCAAUAACCAAGCUGAACAAGUUCAGAGAGUUCUCUAAGAGUAGCUACAAGGAGAUAAAUAGCAAGUGUUGCUGGUACUGUCACAAGAGAGUACAAGAAGGAUUGAGCUACUGGAAAAUGGAGUUCUUGGUAACGUCUGGAACAGGCAGGGGCGUUUGUAUACCAAGGUCUGGUAAGGUUCGCAGGUUAGCGAAGCACAGGUUCUUUGCUACAGCAAAAGUGUCUCAAGAGUUGUCACAGGUUUUGUGAGUAUGAGGCAGGAAUAAAGAAGUCAGCAGUGGUCAGAUUGUUGUCUGAAGUUCUGUUGAGGCAGAUUUGUUUGAGCAGGGUUUGAGCAGAGAUCUCUACAUCGAAAGUCUUCUUAACCGGGUUGAGUUAGGCGGCGUGUUCUGCUGGUCACAGCAGCGGUGAAGAGUGAUGUUCAGGUUGAAAGUUCAUACAGAUUGGUGUAGAGGAAAACUUCAGGAUUAGCAGUGAGUUUUCUACUAGCUGUUGAGGUUGUCUACAAGGGUUUUUUGAGUCAAAGCGCUUCUGGUGUGAGGCAGAAAUGAUUCAAGUUCCGCAGGAGUUUUCAAGCAAGCAUCGUUUCAGGUUUUGGCAGACUAUUGGGAGACCUUAAUUGCAGUAACAAGUCAAGCAUUAUAGGCUGAUCUAUACUAGUCAAAGGAGAAGCUUAUGGAGUGUAUGUUGAGUUAUUGGUGAGUGGUUUUCUCAAGUUUCCAGGUUAUAGAAAGUCCAAAGGAAGAUCAAUGGAGAAGUUUGGCGUGACACAAGUUAGUGGAGUGCUGGGAAAAGAAACUUAAGAAGGCAUGUGUGUGUUGUUGGCACAGGACUGGGAUUGUGAUUCACAUCACAACAAGUUACAUGUCUGUUCAUUGAUGAUGAUUAAGUGGUUGAAGACUGGGAGUUAUCAAGGCUGUCACUGGGUUUACAAAGUUCAAGGGAGCAGUGGCAAAGGUGUCUUCAGGUGUAUCAAGAUAGGUACUGAAUAGGAUGCGUGGAGGAAACAAGUUUGAGGAAACGUUGAAGUUGAGCGGUGAAGCUCAUAAUAAGAUGAAGCUGAAUGGGUUUUAUUCAGAGAAGUAUGAAGCUGAGGAGUAUAUUUUUCUCAGGAGACUGCAAGGAGAUGCAGGGAGAUACAAAAGACGAGCAAGUCUGCUCAAUCAUCGGAGGAAAGCUCAAGAGAAGAUAAGACAUCAAGAAGAUCGAUGCCAAGGUGGAGAUUGUAGAAUUGUGUCAUCAAUCUUCUAAGCUUCUAAGUCAAACAGAAGGUUUGAAUAUGCUGAGAGAAGGAAAGACUCUUGGUUCAGCAGAAGGUUUUACUAAAGUUAAUGAUAUGCACAUGAGGAGCACGUGAGUUGUUAUUAUCUCAGCUGGAUAUUUUCUGGGUUUCAAGUCAUCGUCUUCAUCGUGAAGAUUGUAACAGAAACAGAGAGCAAGAGCUCAAGAUGAGAUGAGAGAGCGAGAGAUGAGAGUGAGCUAGAGAGAGAUGAGAUUCUCGGUUUAUCUAAGCUCAGAGCUUGAUCUUCUUCCUCUAUUAUACUUGUUGUAACUCGGAUUGGAUGUAAUCGAGAGAGGGGAAGAAGAGGAGAGAAACCUCCGGUGA